rnacentral:misc_RNA from 1 species
UGCCUUCGCCACAGGUGGUCUUCAAUGGAUCAGCGGAUUUUACCCCUACCCACUAAGUACCGCUUGCCUCUCCCGCCUCCUAGCUCCAUAGUAUCCUCCGCAGCCCAUCUGUUAAGCAGGUGGAUUUAACGGAAGACUUGUAGAACCGGCUACGGAUGCUUUAGGCCCAAUAAUCGUCCCGACCACUCGGGGUGCUGGUAUUACCGCGGCGGCUGACACCAGGCUUGCCCACCCCUUAUUCUGCACCAUUUUUAGAGGUGCCAAAAGAUUUCCUUAGCGGAAAUCACUCAGAAUAACCCUGUCAAGCUUUCGCUUAUUGCAGAGUUUUCGCGCCUGCUGCACCCCAUAGGGAG